rnacentral:tRNA from 1 species
GGCCUCGUAGUUCAGCUGGUAGAGCGUACCCGUACAAAAUGCAGACGGCGUCCAUGCGUGGGUUCGAAUCCCAACGAGACUA